rnacentral:lncRNA from 1 species
UGCAUUAUAGAAUCUGAAGGGUGCCUUCCUGACAAUAUUAUCUUCCUUCAUAGUAAGCACCUUUGGAUUAUGAUCAGAGAUUAGAGGAGGGUCAUACACAGUUUCUACAUGACUCCAUUUAAUCAUCCAGUCAUAAUUACCAAAUUUUCUAUCCAAUCUACUACAAACUCUAUCAUUGCCAGUUUGUUUGUUGGUCCAUGUGAAGAAAU